rnacentral:rRNA from 1 species
UACGGGGGGGGCAAGCGUUGUUCGGAAUUACUGGGCGUAAAGGGCGCGUAGGCGGUUCGAUAAGUCAGCUGUGAAAACCAUGGGCUUAACUCAUGGCCUGCAGUUGAGACUGUCGGGCUGGAGUGUGGGAGAGGAGAGUGGAAUUCCCGGUGUAGCGGUGAAAUGCGCAGAUAUCGGGAGGAACACCGGUGGCGAAGGCGGUUCUCUGGGCCUUACCUGACGCUGAGGAGCGAAAGCGUGGGGAGCGAACAGG